CAAAACGUCAUCCUGAGCACAUCUGCUCUCUGAUCUCAGAAGCUAAGCAGGGCCGGGCCUGGUUAAGUGUGGGCCCAGCUGUUUGGG
rnacentral:rRNA from 1 species